rnacentral:rRNA from 1 species
CGGUGGGCAUGUGGUUUAAUUCGAAGCAACGCGAAGAACCUUACCAGGUCUUGACAUCCCUGACAACCCGAGAGAUCGGGCGUUCCCCCUUCGGGGGACAGGGUGACAGGUGGUGCAUGGUUGUCGUCAGCUCGUGUCGUGAGAUGUUGGGUUAAGUCCCGCAACGAGCGCAACCCUCGACCUUAGUUGCCAGCAUUCAGUUGGGCACUCUAAGGUGACUGCCGGCUAAAGUCGGAGGAAGGUGGGGAUGACGUCAAAUCAUCAUGCCCCUUAUGACCUGGGCUACACACGUGCUACAAUGGGCGGUACAAAGGGUCGCGAACCCGCGAGGGGGAGCCAAUCCCAAAAAGCCGCUCUCAGUUCGGAUUGCAGGCUGCAACUCGCCUGCAUGAAGCCGGAAUCGCUAGUAAUCGCGGACCAGCAUGCCGCGGUGAAUACGUUCCCGGGCCUU